AACGAACGCUGGCGGCAGGCUUAACACAUGCAAGUCGAGCGCCCCGCAAGGGGAGCGGCAGACGGGUGAGUAACGCGUGGGAAUCUACCCAUCUCUACGGAAUAACGCAUGGAAACGUGUGCUAAUACCGUAUACGUCCUUCGGGCGAAAGAUUUAUCGGAGAUGGAUGAGCCCGCGUUGGAUUAGCUAGUUGGUGGGGUAAAGGCCUACCAAGGCGACGAUCCAUAGCUGGUCUGAGAGGAUGAUCAGCCACACUGGGACUGAGACACGGCCCAGACUCCUCCGGGACGCAGCAGUGGGGAAGAUUGGACAAUGGGCGCAAGCCUGAUCCAGCCAUGCCGCGUGAGUGAUGAAGGCCCUAGGGUUGUAAAGCUCUUUCACCGGUGAAGAUAAUGCCGGUAACCGUAGCAGAAGCCCCGGCUAACUUCGUGCCAGCAGCCGCAGUAAAAC
rnacentral:rRNA from 1 species